AUGAACGCUAGCUACAGGCUUAACACAUGCAAGUCGAGGGGCAGCAUCAUCAAAGCUUGCUUUGAUGGAUGGCGACCGGCGCACGGGUGAGUAACACGUAUCCAACCUGCCGACAACACUGGGAUAGCCUUUCGAAAGAAAGAUUAAUACCGGAUGGCAUAAUUAUUCCGCAUGGGAUAAUUAUUAAAGAAUUUCGGUUGUCGAUGGGGAUGCGUUCCAUUAGGCAGUUGGCGGGGUAACGGCCCACCAAACCUACGAUGGAUAGGGGUUCUGAGAGGAAGGUCCCCCACAUUGGAACUGAGACACGGUCCAAACUCCUACGGGAGGCAGCAGUGAGGAAUAUUGGUCAAUGGACGAGAGUCUGAACCAGCCAAGUAGCGUGAAGGAUGACUGCCCUAUGGGUUGUAAACUUCUUUUAUACGGGAAUAAAGUGAGCCACGUGUGGCUUUUUGUAUGUACCGUAUGAAUAAGGAUCGGCUAACUCCGUGCCAGCAGCCGCGGUAAUACGGAGGAUUCGAGCGUUAUCCGGAUUUAUUGGGUUUAAAGGGAGCGUAGGCGGGAUGUUGAGUCAGUUGUUAAAGUUUGCGGCUCAACCGUAAAAUUGCAGUUGAUACUGGCGACCUUGAGUGCAACAGAGGUAGGCGGAAUUCGUGGUGUAGCGGUGAAAUGCUUAGAUAUCACGAAGAACUCCGAUUGCGAAGGCAGCUUACUGGAUUGUAACUGACGCUGAUGCUCGAAAGUGUGGGUAUCAAACAGGAUUAGAUACCCUGGUAGUCCACACAGUAAACGAUGAAUACUCGCUGUUGGCGAUAUACAGUCAGCGGCCAAGCGAAAGCAUUAAGUAUUCCACCUGGGGAGUACGCCGGCAACGGUGAAACUCAAAGGAAUUGACGGGGGCCCGCACAAGCGGAGGAACAUGUGGUUUAAUUCGAUGAUACGCGAGGAACCUUACCCGGGCUUAAAUUGCAACUGACGGAACCGGAAACGGUUCUUUCUUCGGACAGUUGUGAAGGUGCUGCAUGGUUGUCGUCAGCUCGUGCCGUGAGGUGUCGGCUUAAGUGCCAUAACGAGCGCAACCCUUACGGGUAGUUACCAUCAGGUUAUGCUGGGGACUCUACCCGGACUGCCGUCGUAAGAUGUGAGGAAGGUGGGGAUGACGUCAAAUCAGCACGGCCCUUACGUCCGGGGCUACACACGUGUUACAAUGGGGGGUACAGAAGGCAGCUACACGGCGACGUGGUGCUAAUCCCAAAAGCCUCUCUCAGUUCGGAUUGGAGUCUGCAACCCGACUCCAUGAAGCUGGAUUCGCUAGUAAUCGCGCAUCAGCCACGGCGCGGUGAAUACGUUCCCGGGCCUUGUACACACCGCCCGUCAAGCCAUGAAAGCCGGGGGUACCUGAAGUACGUAACCGCGAGGAGCGUCCUAGGGUAAAACUGGCGAUUGGGGCU
rnacentral:rRNA from 1 species